rnacentral:rRNA from 1 species
UACGUAGGGGGCUAGCGUUGUCCGGAAUCAUUGGGCGUAAAGCGCGCGUAGGCGGCCAGAUAAGUCCGGUGUGAAAGUCAAAGGCUCAACCUUUGAAUGCCGCUGGAAACUGUCUGGCUUGAGUCCGGAAGGGGCGAGUGGAAUUCCUGGUGUAGCGGUGAAAUGCGCAGAUAUCAGGAAGAACACCCGUGGCGAAGGCGGCUCUCUGGAACGCAACUGACGCUGAGACGCGAAAGCGUGGGGAGCAAACAGG